rnacentral:rRNA from 1 species
UCGCAAUGGGGGCCACCCUGACGAAGCAAUGCCGCGUGGAUGAAGAAGGCCUUCGGGUUGUAAAGUCCUUUCGUGGGGGACGAAAAGGCGGGUCCUAAUACNAUCUGCUGUUGACGUGAACCCAAGAAGAAGCACCGGCUAACUCCGUGCCAGCAGCCGCGGUAAUACGGGGGGUGCAAGCGUUAAUCGGAAUCACUGGGCGUAAAGGGUGCGUAGGCGGUACGUUAGGUCUGUCGUGAAAUCCCCGGGCUCAACCUGGGAAUGGCGGUNGAAACCGGCGCACUAGAGUAUGGGAGAGGGUGGUGGAAUUCCAGGUGUAGCGGUGAAAUGCGUAGAGAUCUGGAGGAACAUCAGUGGCGAAGGCGGCCACCUGGCCCAAUACUGACGCUGAGGCACGAAAGCGUGGGGAGCAAACAGGAUUAGAUACCCUGGUAGUCCACGCCCUAAACGAUGAAUACUAGAUGUUUGGUGCCUAGCGUACUGAGUGUCGUAGCUAACGCGAUAAGUAUUCCCCUGGGAAGUACGGCCGCAAGGUUA